GUGAGUCAUCGAAUCUUUGAACGCAACUUGCGGCCGCCGGCAUUCCGGCGGCCAUGCCUGUCCGAGCGCCACUACAACCCCUCAGGCCUUGUGCCUGGCGUUGGGGUGCUGUUUCUCCGAAACGGCGCCCCGAAAGAUAGUGGCAGCGGCGCCCGUGGCGCGACGUGUGUAGUAACACUUCACUGACACGAAGCCCCGGCGUUGCCCGCCGACAAGAACCCCAAUCUCUCAUCAGGUUGGCCUCGGAUCAGGUAGGAUUACCCGCUGAACUUAAGCAUAUCAAUAAGCGGAGGA
rnacentral:misc_RNA from 1 species